GAUAGGUCAUUCAUUGUUGCUAAUAGAGUGAUUCUUCCAUAUUGCCGUUCUUUCUUUCUUUUUCCAUCUUCUUCCUGUGAAUUCUGUUGUUCCAAAAAAUCACCAGUGCCAGAGAGGAGAGCCAUUAGAUGUUC
rnacentral:ribozyme from 14 species